rnacentral:misc_RNA from 1 species
AAAACUUGAUCAUAGAAGUUCAUGGUGGUUUGAUGCUAAGGUGUGGCUUAAUUGAAAGUGGAGAGGGAAGGGAAUUUUUGAUAUAUAGGGAAAAUGGGGACAAAACUCAAAAAGAGCAUUAUUCAAAUCCUUGACAAAAAAGAGGUUGUAUAUUAUGUGCAGGCAUUGCUUCGAGAAGUUAUCCAACAAAGUCUUACCUUUUUAGCUAGAAAAUUUAAGUGGACCUGAGAAUUAAUUUUCUUAUAUUAUUUUCUUUGCUCCUUUCUGUCUCAAUUUUAAACCAAAUAAGAACAAAAGUCAAGAAAAUCUAAAUUUUCGCUUCUCUUUAUUGCCUAAUGAAUAGAGGUUGAUUAUAACUUUGGUGCGCUUGAGGAAGCAUUUUUUAUUGUAGUGGGUGUUAUCUAAGGUGGGGUUGAGCUCUAUUUAUUUGAAACAAAGACAAUUAACUGAACUAACACAUUUUUUUAUUUUUAUUUAGAUUCAGUUUUCAUGGUAAAAAAAUUGAAAUAAUCAAACAAAACCUAAUUAUAUAUUUAUACAAAUAUUAUAUGAAAAUGUAUUUCUUUAUAUAAUGUGAUUAAAAACUAGUGAAUCAAACCAAACUGAACCAAAUUAGUAUGCUUUUGAUUUGGUCACUUGAUUACAAACAUUUUGGUUAUUUCUUUUGUGCUUAGUUUCAAAUUGAAUCAAACAAUACUUACUCCUAGUCUAAGGCAUCCUGAGAACAAUUGUUGCAACUGCUUGUUUGAUCUAGUGAUUAGUAAAAUAGAUUUAGCAAUGUACGAAACAAAAGCUUCUUGAUCUAGUAAAAUAGUGGUUCAACAAUGUCAUUUAU